GGAAUAUUGGACAAUGGGCGCAAGCCUGAUCCAGCCAUGCCGCGUGAGUGAUGAAGGCCCUAGGGUUGUAAAGCUCUUUCACCGGUGAAGAUAAUGACGGUAACCGGAGAAGAAGCCCCGGCUAACUUCGUGCCAGCAGCCGCGGUAAUACGAAGGGGGCUAGCGUUGUUCGGAAUUACUGGGCGUAAAGCGCACGUAGGCGGAUCGUUAAGUGAGGGGUGAAAUCCCAGGGCUCAACCCUGGAACUGCCUUUCAUACUGGCGAUCUUGAGUUCGAGAGAGGUGAGUGGAAUUCCGAGUGUAGAGGUGAAAUUCGUAGAUAUUCGGAGGAACACCAGUGGCGAAGGCGGCUCACUGGCUCGAUACUGACGCUGAGGUGCGAAAGCGUGGGGAGCAAACAGGAUUAGAUACCCCGGUAGUCC
rnacentral:rRNA from 1 species